rnacentral:rRNA from 1 species
UACAGAGGGGGCAAGCGUUGUUCGGAAUUACUGGGCGUAAAGGGCGCGUAGGCGGCCUGUUAAGUCGAACGUGAAAUCCCUGGGCUCAACCCAGGAACUGCGUCCGAUACUGGCAGGCUUGAAUUCGGGAGAGGAAUGCGGAAUUCCAGGUGUAGCGGUGAAAUGCGUAGAUAUCUGGAGGAACACCGGUGGCGAAGGCGGCAUCCUGGACCGAUAUUGACGCUGAGGCGCGAAAGCCAGGGGAGCAAACGGG